AUACGGAGGGGGCUAGCGUUGUUCGGAAUUACUGGGCGUAAAGCGCACGUAGGCGGAUUAAAAAGUUAGAGGUGAAAUCCCAGGGCUUAACCCUGGAACUGCCUUUAAAACUAGUAGUCUAGAGUUCGAGAGAGGUGAGUGGAAUUCCAAGUGUAGAGGUGAAAUUCGUAGAUAUUUGGAGGAACACCAGUGGCGAAGGCGGCUCACUGGCUCGAUACUGACGCUGAGGUGCGAAAGCGUGGGGAGCAAACAGGAUUAGAAACCCUGGUAGUCC
rnacentral:rRNA from 1 species